UACGUAGGGCGCAAGCGUUAUCCGGAAUUAUUGGGCGUAAAGAGCUUGUAGGCGGUUUGUCGCGUCUGCUGUGAAAUUUCGGGGCUCAACCCCGAACUUGCAGUGGGUACGGGCAGACUAGAGUGUGGUAGGGGAGACUGGAAUUCCUGGUGUAGCGGUGAAAUGCGCAGAUAUCAGGAGGAACACCGAUGGCGAAGGCAGGUCUCUGGGCCACUACUGACGCUGAGAAGCGAAAGCAUGGGGAGCGAACAGG
rnacentral:rRNA from 1 species